rnacentral:ncRNA from 2 species
CCAAUAGCGUAUAUUAAAGUUGUUGCAGUUAAAAAGCUCGUAGUUGAAUUUCGGGAUCAGUAGGUCGGUCGUGCCACUGGUAUGAACUGGUCUCACUGGUUCCUCCCUCUUGACGAACUGCAAUGCUAUUAAUUUAGUGUUGUAGGAAAUCAGGACUGUUACUUUGAAAAAAUUAGAGUGUUUAAAGCAGGCUUUAGCUUGAAUACAUUAGCAUGGAAUAAUGAAAUAGGACGUUCGAUCCUAUUUUGUUGGCUUCUAGGAUUGACGUAAUGAUUAAUAGGGACAGUUGGGGGCAUUAGUAUUCAAUUGUCAGAGGUGAAAUUCUUGGAUUUAUUGAAGACUAACUACUGCGAAAGCAUUUGCCAAGGAUGUUUUCAUUAAUCAAGAACGAAAGUUAGGGGAUCGAAGACGAUCAGAUACCGUCGUAGUCUUAACCAUAAACUAUGCCGACUAGGGAUCGGAUGAUGUUAAUUUUUUAAUGACUCAUUCGGCGCCUUACG